UAUUCGCAGCGACAUUAAGGUGAUUUCCCCGCAAAACCGAAUAAAAAAAUAGUGCAGGAGUUAUUUCCCCUAUCUGGAUCAAAAUGUUUAAUGGCGGGCGACUUUUGACGUUGCAGACACAGUACUAAAUGUAGCAAUAGGUAAGCUACGCGUAUCGCAUAAAUGAUGAACUAUAUCUCAUAUGAUGUUUUUUUUCAUAUUAUGAUGUAUUUUCACACCAAAUAAUGGAAAUAAUUUGAGUGAAAGCUGUAUUUAUCAAAAGAAAGAUCGCAAGCGGAGUUUAAGCUCCGCCCAUUUUUUACCUUAUUUGGAAAUUCAAUGUAGUCGUGAAGCUUGCAGUUUGCAAGUCUGUUAAUUGAAGAUAAUUGAAGCCGCCGUGCACUUGUCAGUUGAGAUUAAAACGACAUGGUUGAAGAAACUGAUGAGAACAAAUGGAAAAUGUAUUCAAUAUGAUCCAUUGUCAGGGUAAUACAUGAUUUAAAAGGAUAAUCAUGGUGUAAUUUAUCGCUUUCAGGUAUUAUAAUCUAGAGAUAUACUAAAAUUAUGCAGACUGGCUUGUGCAUGGUACGGAUAGAUCAGAUAUAACCACGUGUUGCAAUAUUUAAUUUCAACCAUGGCCAGUAUCUAUCAUUUUUAUACGAAAAACACCGAAACACAGGGGUUCUUCUUCACAGGUGUUUGUUAAUCCAGGGCCGUAUAACUAGGGUUCGAAUUCAGGGGAGGCAGGGGUUUGGGGGCCGUCAAUUGAGGCCCCCUUUAGAGAGAGAGGGGUUGGGGGCGCAGCCCCCCAGCCGAUUUUUUUUCUCCAAGUAAAAUGGCUAAAAAUGACCCGUUUUCCUUCGAUUUCCUUACUCUAAAAAACAUCAGUAUUGCUUGAACCUGGAAACAAUUUUUAUGCAAAAAAACUGAGAUUGCUGUUUGGGGUAAGCCAAGGCUCCGUCUUGAAGGUCGUACUUUGACCUAUAAUUAUUAACAUUAAAUACAUUGUGACCGCGGAUUUUGUUCUCAAUAUGGCUAAAAAUCACCCGUUUUCCUUUGAUUUCCUUACUUAAAAAAACAUCAGUAUUUGCUGGAUCCUUAAAGCAAUUUUUUAUACAAACAAUUAUUAUCUGUAUUUCAAGAUAUUUUUGUUAGAAAUCAAACUGGUAAGUUAAAAAAAAGAUAUAAAGCAAGAUCAUAGAGAGAUGUUUUUUUUGUUGAGGACCUUGAAUUUUAAUAAUUGUUGAAAGUUGAACAGACAUGUAUAUAACUACACCCAGGGACUUUCUAAACUAGUAUACACUGAGUUUAGAAAGUCUCUGCUUCAAUGAAUUGGAGUGUUUAACUACUAUGGCAUUGACCAUAAUGUUCUCGUAAGAUCGGCCUGGAGACGUUAAAAAAAAUGACACAACAGCUGAUUCAGCUGGUAAUGAAUUUCCAAUAACGUUCCUCUUGUGUCAGAUAAUUUAGGAAAAUGAAGAAAUAAAAUAAAAAACAUGUGCCUGUGCCUCUUAUCGCCUUUUUAAAAAUAAUAUGCAUUAACUAUUAUAAAGGGCAAAUACAUGUAUUUGAAUUGCAUGAUGCCACAGGGGCGGAUCCAGCCAUUUUAUAAAGGACGGGUUCCCAACCCAGGACAAAGGGGGGUUCCCAUUCAAAUGCAUUGAUCGGCCAAAAAAAGGGGGGUUCCAACCCUUGAAUCCGCCAAUGUGCCAUCAGUUAUGUAUACAUUGUACUUAUUUACAUCAUGCCAUUCGUCCAAAGUAAAAAAAAUAUUCCUGCAGGACACAUCAAAUAAAAAAACUUAUUUGCCGGGGCUAAUCAUGCUAAUUAUUCUUCAUCAAACAUGUCAAAACUACUCCAAAUAAAUAUGACGUGUUGAAAGGCUAUUAUAUUUUUUUUAGUUUCGAAGUAAGGCGUCAAAGAAAAAAAAGAAAAUAGCCUUUCAAGAUCGAAAGUAAGGUGUCAAAGAAAAAAAAUAAACUAGCAUUUCAAGACGUCAUAAUUAUUUGGACUACAAAAACACCUUUAAAUAAUUAUUUCAAUUCAUCAUCCCUAACAAACAUUUUUGUGUUGGUCUGUAAUUGGUAAUAGUCCAAAUAAUUAAGACGUCUGGCAAGACUAUUUUUAUUUUUUAUCUGAGACAGCCAGUAGGAAGCUUAAGGCGUCCAAGAAAAAAAAUUAAAUAGCCUUGCCAGACAUCAUAAUUAUUUGGACUAGGUCUGUAAUUUAGCAGUUCAUGUUCAGAUGUAAUUGUAACCUCUUACAAGGCUACAUGAAGCUAUUUCAUUUUUCGCAGGAAGGCUCAAAGCUAAAAUAAAAUAGCCUUGCAAGAUGUCUUAAUUUUUUAGACUAAGAAUAGACCAAUUUGCUAUUAUUAUUGUGUGCAAUAUAGAUAAAGACUGAGAAAGCAUUGUCCACUUGAAUGUUUCGUACAUGUACAUGUAUCUACAUGUAAUAUGGCGCUGUAUCUUGUAAUUAUUUGGAAUAGAGGGAAGAACAUUUUACACCGGAGUUGAAUUUCUUUAAUAUACAUGUAAAUACCAUUGAUUUCAUCAUAUGUCUAAUAUCAUUCAUUAUCACAAACUCUAUUGUCUGACAUUCUUUGUAUUUCAUAAGUCUAAAUAUAUCAGUGAUUUUCCUAAUCUUUUUCAAAUGGGACCUGGAGUGCCCUGGACACUUAAAUUUAUGCUAAUAAAAGGAACCCUGAACACGUAAUCUGGAGCUCUACCACAUACAUGUAUGAUGUACACUUGAUCCCCCUCUCCCAAAACAGACCCAGGGCGAACAGACCGGAUACGGAUACCCCCCCCCCCUUUGUCCUGGGUUAGGAACCCCCCCUUUUUAAAAUGGCUGGAUCCGCCCCUGAAAUGGGAAAUGUGUCAAAGAGACAGCAACCCAACCAUAGAACAGACAAUAGCAGAAGGUCAACAACUUGUUUUCGUGUUUAGACGUUUUAUCUUUCUAUGUUUCGUGUUUGGUACGAUGUGUGCUUCAUAUUUCCCCUUAUUUCAUUAUUUAUUUUCCCUGUUUCCUGUCAUACUCUUUAAUUUCUCGUGCUUGUCAAAAAAAGUUUUAUAUAUCUAUUUAAUAUUUAUUAUGGUCCAUGUACAUGAUGUAUUGUUAUAUACCUAAUUUUUUUAUAAAUAAGUGUUCCUAGUUCACAGUCUGGUAUCUGUAUCAUUCUGGAACUGGAAAGGGUUAUUCCGUAUCCAGCAUGAUUUUAACUCUCUCUCUUUUCUUGGCGAUGUGGGUAGCAGUUAACUUGUUAUUUUAUAUUGAGAACAAAAUAUUAGAACAAAAGCUAUAUUAUUUGUGUUUAUUUGUGUCCUUUGAAUUUAAAAGUCUCCAACGGAUACAAAAAAGAACUUGUGUGGUUAUACAUUGUGAGGACCUUCAAAUUACUAUAAAUAGAUAGCAAUCUUUAAAAUCAGAUGCAAUUCAAGAAGGUUUAAAAGUGACAGCAAAGUCUUUAUGUCCAUUAAAAAUGACUGCAGUCAGCUUGUUAUUUUCUGUGAAACAAUGUACCGGUAUGUUUCUGCUUUUUUUCCCUAGGCUAGUGUUUCCAUGUUUUAUAAACACAAAGUCCAAAUAAUAUUAUUAUUUCUUAAAAAGGCUUUGUUGAGAUUAACUGGAAUGCCUUCCUCAUGUUCCCAUCUAUGAGUCAUAUUAGUCUAAUGUUAUUGCAUGUAUUUCUUCUUUCAAUUUUUUUUGCUGCAAUUCCUUUCUAAUAAUGUAAUGGAUUUUGCCAUUCAUAGUAUGAAAGUUAUUAUUACAUGUAUAAGGCAAACACAAUAUAUGUCUGUUUAAGGUUACAUACAUCAAAUAAAUAGGGUAGGUGGUAAGGUCGGUAUUUCCAUUUUAUUUUAUUUUUUCAUUUUAAUUUUUUGGCAUGAUUUUAGAGUCAUGCAGUUUUAUCUUGUCAUGGGCCGAGUUCACCUGUAUUUUUAAAGAUUGAAUUAUUUCCCUUUGUUAUUGGUUGGAAAAAAUGGUGGCAAAGUGUUUAAUUUCAUCACACGAGUUGCGAAAUUUCCUUAAAACAGCUGCCAUAUUUAUGAUUGUGAACAUUAGGAUGUAUCAGGCAAUUGACUUAUAUUAUUGGCAACGCUACAAAAAUGUAAAUGCACUUUUGACUCUAGUUCAGUUUAUUUUUCACUUUACGACGGAAAUAAAAUGACUAUUUAAAGGGUCGGUGCUCAAAAAUAGGGUAGGUCAGGUAACCGUAAACAGACAUAUAUUUUUUUGGCCUUAGGAAAGACUAAAAGAAGCAAUAAUCUGAGGCUUAUUAAUAUGUAGUUUGCUCAUCACGACUGCCUACUUUGACAUAUUAUUUUAUAUAUAUAUAUAUAAUAAUUAUUAUCAGUAUUAAAAUUGAAUAGUCACUGCAUGCAUUUUCCCUCUAAAAAAUAGAGUACAUGUAUGACAUCAAAUAUCUGAACUGUGUCCCUGUUCAGUGUUGGUUGGAAUUAAAUCCAUUACUCAAAGCUAAAUCCCCAGUAAACAGAAUCGAACUAUAAUGGUAUUUGUAAAAUUUUCUUUGUGAAACCACAUGACCAAGAGGCAGAAAAAAGCCCCACUUGUAAUAAAGCUGUGUAUUCUGUUACAACAGACAACUGUGUGCAAGCAUGAAAGUAUGCAAAUCAUCAUUUUUUAAACUAAACAGCUGUUUAGAAACGGUCAAACCGAUAGAUGAGAGGGGAGGGUCUCAUAUUCUUAUUGCUGUGAAUGUAAGUCUACCUCAAUCUACUGAUGAUACAAAAAAUAACAACACAUACAUGUACAAGUGUUUUUCAUGACACUUAGCUGAUAUUGUAACAUAAGCUCCCUUAUGCUCAUGAUUUUUAUUUAUUUUAGAUUUACUUAUUCUAGUUAUCAGGAUUUUAUCUUUUUAUAUACCAAAACUUUUAAUCUUUAAAAAAGUGCGGGUACAAUUGCAAAUGUAUACUGUUUCUAUUUCUAUCUAUACAUCUUUAAAACAGCCAGAUUUUUGGAUAGAGAGUCAGGGGUGGAUCCAGCCAUUUUAAAAAGGGGGGGUUCCAACUGUAUGUCCCCAUUCAAAUACAUUGAUCGGCCAAAAAAACAGGGGGUUCCAACCCCCGGAACAACCACCCCCCCUUGGAUUCGCCAAUGAGAGUUGUCUCAUUGGCACUCAUAUAUUUUGUACCACAUCUUCCUAUACAUCUAUAUCUAGACAGACUGACUAUAUUAAAGUCAGUCUGUCUGUCUGUUCCAUGAAUUUUUUUCGUCCAUCUUUCUCAGGAAAAUAACAAGGAUUUCUAAAAUUUGCUUUCAGGGUUUAUAUGAAUCAGCAAUACCUUGUGAUGCUUUUUCAUAUUCAUCAUUCAACAACUUCCUGUGUACCUUAAAAUUCUUAAAGUUUAUGAGGGUAUCAUAAGCGAUCAGUAGCUCACAGAUUCACUUGUUUGUUUCAGAUUAUUUUAUAUAUUUUUUGUUGGGGGAGGGAGCUGACUAUUUUGAGCAGUGCUCUCAGCACUUCUAUUUAAUCAUAAAAGUAACAUUAAGACGAGCAAACAAACAUUAGCAACAUGCGUAUCAUGGGUUUAUUUAAUUUGCAUUAUUUAAUGCACAUUACUUGUGUGGCAAAAGUAAUUUCUUUAUUUUAAAAAAUAUAUGAUUCAUUAUCAUGAUGAUUAUACACAGAUAGUCAUACAUGUUACAUGUAUACACAGGUUCAUACUAUUUUUGUAUAUAUAGCUCUGUAACAGUUUCAGUACUUCAUUUGUUUGUACUUAUACAUCUUUGGAUUUAAAUGUUUGGCUUUGAUGAGUGUUCCUGAUGAAAGUAAAUCCAGAAAAGCACUUUGGACGCAUGAAAUUAUUAAACGUGUUGUUUAUCAAUUUUUCAUGCUAAUUAUUAAUUAUAUAUAAUCUUUUUCUUUUAGGUCGCCUGAGAAUUACAGGACUGAGGUUACAGUAUGCCAUUCAAGCUUUGGUGAAAUAUAAAGUAAUGGUUUGAAUUUGGAAUCUUUAUUAUAGACAGGUAAAUUGUUUAUCCUGCAAUUAUCUAACUAUUGUACAAUGAGACGACUCUCCUCAAGAGUCCAAGUGAAACAGAAAUUAAAAACUAUAGGUCACCAUUUAGGCAUUAUGGCCUUCAACAAUGAGAAAAACACAUAAAAGGCCCAAAAUCAUAAAUGUUAAUAAACAUGUUGAAGGAGAAAACUAAUGGCCUAAUUUAUGUGGAAAAAAAAUGAAUGAACAAACAAACAAACAACAAGUGCUUAAUUACAGACACAUACAUACAGAAUGUGGCGGGGUUUAAGUUGAUUGUUUAAUAACGGUUAAAUAUGUUAGCAAGCCAGGCUUUUCUUCCUGUUCUUAUAAUACAUGUACGUGCAAAUAAAUUUCUGUUUUCUUACAUCGUGAGAAGAUUGUAUGAUGUAAAUUUAGAACUUUAUACAUGUUAAAUGGCAAUGAUUUUAAAAGGCAACUUUAAAUACAAAAUGUAUCUCAUUUUUAUAAGAACUGACAUUCUGAAAUCUAUACAUCAUGUACAUGCAUGACAAAUAAGUAACUGUACAAGUAUGUAGAUAUUUUCUGAAAUAGCAAUUAUUAAUAUCACAAUUUUCCAUUCUUCAAGAAUUGCAAUACAAUAAUAAUGUACCCAAUAUAAAUCAUGAUAAUUUCUUAAUUAAAAAUGAAGUGUCUGUACCAGCAAUAAUAUUUAUAAACACAGACAUGACAGAUACACCUAUAAUAAUAUACUGAACUUGCUAGCUAAAAUUUCUUGUGGAUUACUGAUAUUGAUCAUGUUGAUAUUGAAGUAUUCCUGUCAUUGUUCACAUUUGGAAAAGGAGAUAUAAAUACAUAAAUUUAAAUAUUUAUUACAUAGUGCGCUUUUUUUUAAAAUGUGUGUGGAAAAUUUAAUUUUUGUUCAAAUGUUGAAUGAAGACAUUUAUAUACUACAGGUAAAAAAGGAUGGGAAUUAUUUUGUUAGCAUUUUAAUUGUACCUUUUUGAAGAAGUAUGUUUGCACUAACUUUUGAUUACUUUUUUCAUUUUGAAAAUUUCAUUUGAUAUAUACAUUGUACAUGUAUUAUAUUUGGAUUUUUAUUUUUCAGGGAUAAAGACCUUAGACCUGCAGUCAGACACCAGUUAAAAGUUACUUAUUAUAUAACUCAUCAUGGCCAUUAUCAUGAUUAUGGAAGAUCUGAUUAAAAUUUGUUUAGAAAGCUACCAAAUAUGUCCGUGAAAAAUAGAAAAAAGACAGCAAUUCUACAUAAUGUACCGUACUAAGCAGAAGCAUUGAAUGUUUCAAGACCAAAUGAAUUGGAAUUUAGUGUUUUGAUGCUGAAAAAACAAGGAAUAUUAAUUUUCAUCAUUAUUGAAGUUGAUUUUUUUACCUCAGUUAAAAUGAAUUCCAAAUAUACAUGAUAUCAGCAGUUCGGAGAUUUGUGAAUAUUCUUAGAAUAGGAGCUUCAAAAAGGAUUUCAGUUAAAAAAUUGUAUUUCAUGGAUGUAAAAAAUGUAAUUUGUUGUCUCUUUCAUGAAAUAUAUGAAAAAAAUCUGCAAUAUCUAACCAAGACGAGUGAGAGAUCUACAAAUAGACAUGCUAUUCAGUUGAAUUGUAAACAUGGUAAAGAGGAAUUUUGAAAUAUUCAUUUAUAAGACUUACAUGAGUGUUUUGUUAUUUUUAUGGCGAUUACAG
rnacentral:lncRNA from 1 species